AUCGUAGCUCUGUGGUCGAACCCAAAUCUAUAAGUUGAUCAAAUUGAAAAUAACUAACCAGUUGGUAUCUAAGGUAAGUAUGGCAACUUUGAUCUGUAGUCAUUAAUUGGAAGCUAUUCACAUAGAUUGAAUCUAUGUUGAGUUAGUGACAUAUUCUUCCUACCGAUCUCACAUACCUAACCAAUAUGGUAAUCAUAUUUUGAUUAGAUCACUUAAUGAUUGGGGUUGACCCAUGCUAACUAAGAAAUCAGUAUGAUUGAUUUUGGUGCCCCU
rnacentral:lncRNA from 1 species